UUGAUGAGACUGGGCGAGCCUAUGCGUCGAUGAUGUGCCGGUGCAACGGUCAUCACUCAUCAAGUCAUCAAGGCCGUAUAGUGAGAGUGGAUCAUCAGCGUCCACAAUUUUGAAAGACUGAAGAAAAUACCUUUAUGUCCAGGUGCCCGAGCAAUUAUUUGUUGCCAUGACGACGACAUCAGCAGUGUUUGUUUGCUAUUUGUUGAAUAUUUGGCUGAAAACAAUAUUUUUCUGGUUAAGCGAGGUUAUUAUUUCACAUUUCUUUUCAGUUUAACUUGAAUAAUCAAAACAAGGAAUAUUAAGUUUGGAUUAUCCGUGGUCAACUCUACAAAACAAUGAAGGACAAGUUGAAAAUCCAUGUCAUCUACUGCGGCGCCUGAGGAUACGCCCCAAAGUUCCGCCGUAUCAAGGCGGAACUGGAUGGGGCCUUUCCGAGGGAGCUGGACAUCACUGGUGAGGGAACCGCCAGCGUCACUGGCUACUUCGAGGUCCAGAUCGUCGGCGGCAAACUUCUUCAUUCCAAAAAGAACGGCAAUGGCUACGUGGACACUCCAGAGAAGAUGAACCGCAUUGUGCAGGGGAUCAAGGACGCGCUAGCAGCUGCCUGCUGAGUGCUGAUCAGUGCCGGAAACUGAUGUGAAACGGUGUGUCACGGUGAACAGUGACGUCACAGCCACAAUGACGUCAGCCGCAGAAAGCCCGGCUGGCGGCGGACCGAUGAUGGGCUGAGGCGGCACUGGCUACCGGUGAAGCGCCGCUGCUUCAGCCAUUUCCAGCUGAUUUUCUGCAUCCGAACAUCCGUGUUUCUAAAGAUGUAAUCACAGAUCUCAGCAAGAUUCAUUGAUUCAGAGUAAUUUGGUCCGUCUUUCACCCGUCUUGAACGUAACAAACCGUUAUUUGCAAUCGAACCAUUAAUGUGCCUGUGUUGUUCGUGAUGAUAGCAAGUCUAUCCGCAUUUACGUAGUGAAUGUUUUACACAUCGAUUACUUUCCGCAAUAAAUUGAAAGUUUGAUGUAA